CGGUCAGUAGGUUGGUCGUGCCACCGGUACGUACUGGUCUCACUGAUUCCUCCUUCCUGAAGAACCGUAAUGCCAUUAAUUUGGUGUUGCGGGGAAACAGGACUGUUACUUUGAAAAAAUUAGAGUGUUUAAAGCAAGCUAACGCUUGAAUACAUUAGCAUGGAAUAAUGAAAUAGGACGAUCGAUCCUAUUUUGUUGGUUUCUAGGAUUGACGUA
rnacentral:rRNA from 1 species